rnacentral:rRNA from 1 species
CCUACGGGAGGCAGCAGUGAGGAAUAUUGGUCAAUGGACGCAAGUCUGAACCAGCCAUGCCGCGUGCAGGAAGACGGCUCUAUGAGUUGUAAACUGCUUUUGUACGAGGGUAAACGCAGAUACGCGUAUCUGUCUGCAAGUAUCGUACGAAUAAGGAUCGGCUAACUCCGUGCCAGCAGCCGCGGUAAUACGGAGGAUUCAAGCGUUAUCCGGAUUUAUUGGGUUUAAAGGGUGCGUAGGCGGUCGGAUAAGUUAGAGGUGAAAUCCCGAGGCUCAACUUCGGAAUUGCGUCUGAUACUGUUCGGCUAGAGAGUAGUUGCGGUAGGCGGAAUGUAUGGUGUAGCGGUGAAAUGCUUAGAGAUCAGACAGAACACCGAUUGCGAAGGCAGCUUACCAAGCUACUUCUGACGUUGAGGCACGAAAGCGUGGGGAGCAAACAGGAUUAGAUACCCUAGUAGUC